UCGCUACGUACUAAAGCAUAGCCCGCCUGUCCCAAAAACUUGUAUCAGCCACCAGUCUGCGCUGCCGACGAAUAACGUAUUGAGGGAUAAUGGGUAAAAGCUUUAUCACAACAAUUGACUCCAAAUCAGUUUAUCUGUGAGAAGCACUUUCCGAAGAAGAUAUUAAGAAAGCAAGUUCCAAUAGUGCAAAAUGACAUUAAUAACUGACCAAUCGAAAACCUGGAUUAUACACAACCUUCGUUAAA